ACUAUUUUGGCAGAAAUAUGCAAUAAAUUUAGAAUUUAUUUAUGUAAUUAUAUUUACAGAUAGUA
rnacentral:tRNA from 1 species